AACGAACGCUGGCGGCAUGCCUAACACAUGCAAGUCGAUCGAGACCUUCGGGUCUAGUGGCGCACGGGUGCGUAACGCGUGGGAACCUGCCCUUAGGUUCGGAAUAACUCCCCGAAAGGGGUGCUAAUACCGGAUAAUGUCUUCGGACCAAAGAUUUAUCGCCUUUGGAUGGGCCCGCGUUGGAUUAGCUAGUUGGUAGGGUAAAAGCCUACCAAGGCGACGAUCCAUAGCUGGUCUGAGAGGAUGAUCAGCCACACUGGGACUGAGACACGGCCCAGACUCCUACGGGAGGCAGCAGUGGGGAAUAUUGGACAAUGGGCGAAAGCCUGAUCCAGCAAUGCCGCGUGAGUGAUGAAGGCCUUAGGGUUGUAAAGCUCUUUUACCCGGGAUGAUAAGGACAGUACCGGGAGAAUAAGCUCCGGCUAACUCCGU
rnacentral:rRNA from 1 species